rnacentral:rRNA from 1 species
UACGAAGGGGGCUAGCGUUGCUCGGAAUUACUGGGCGUAAAGGGCGCGUAGGCGGGUCGUUUAGUUAGAGGUGAAAGCCCAGGGCUCAACCCUGGAAUUGCCUUUAAUACUGGCGGCCUUGAGUAUGGCAGAGGUGUGUGGAACUCCGAGUGUAGAGGUGAAAUUCGUAGAUAUUCGGAAGAACACCAGUGGCGAAGGCGACACACUGGGCCAUUACUGACGCUGAGGCGCGAAAAGCGUGGGGAGCAAACAGGG